rnacentral:rRNA from 1 species
UAGUCCACGCUGUAAACGAUGAGUGCAAGGUGUUGGGGGCCAAACCUCGGUGCCGCCGUUAACACAGUAAGCACUCCGCCUGGGGAGUACGUACGCAAGUAUGAAACUCAAAGGAAUUGACGGGGACCCGCACAAGUAGCGGAGCAUGUGGUUUAAUUCGAUGCAACGCGAAGAACCUUACCAGGGCUUGACAUAAAAGUGACGAGGGAUAGAGAUAUUCCUUUUCUCUUCGGAGACAGUUUUAC